AUGUACACAAUGGCAGCCCACGGAGAGGAUGAGGGCAAGGGAGACAGAAUCGCUUGAGCCUGGCAGAGCAAAUGAAAACACAUCAGAGAGAUUUUCCUUGAAAGGAAGGUGGUAUGUAUGUAUGUAUGGGGCCUGGCAUGAGGCAAGAUUGGAAUUCACAAUUCAGUUAAAGAAAAUAGGCAAAUGACAACGUUAGGAAAUGAUUUGAAAGGAAGAGCUCUACACCCCUGCCACAAAACUAAACAGGUGCAAGCUACCAUCAUGAAACACAUCACCCGCCAGCUGCACUCAACAGGGGACAGGAUACGCAGGGCUUAGAGAAAGUGCUGCUUGCUAACUCUACAUUUCCAUGUUACAUCUUUGUCGUCGUGGAAAGAGAAAGAGAAGAAAGGGAAGAUAUGAUAGCAGGAACAUUCACUGAAGUACAGACUCACUGAGCAAUCAUGACAAGCUAAAUCCCACUUACUCCUCAAGACAUGGCUCCUAUGUCAGCUCUUCAACAAAUCCUUCCCUCAUUUCCCAGGCUCACCAGGAACUCUCUUCACUGGGCCUCCAAAGGCACCCUAUGAAUACUUCCAGAAUUCCACUUUGCCCUACAACCAUCUCUCCAUGUGCUCUUCUAGGCUUAUAAGCAUAUGAGAGCAAGAAAUGUGACUUUCAUUUUGAAUAACUGUUGUAUGAAUGGAAAACAUAGUUAGCAAUUUAUCAUAUCUCAUGAUUGCCCUUAAAUCUAAAUAUUGGAAUCAUCUUUAUCUACGUUUUUAUUAUUUUGUUUUUUAUAGGCUUGCAGCUUAUCUUUCCAUGUAGUUAAAAUCCCUUGAGGGUAGGAAAUGUUUUAUUCUUUAUAUUUUUGCCAACUGCCCAAAUCAAACUCUAAAAUACAGUGUGAGAUCUCAAAAUAUCUGUUGCUUAUAUUAUAGCAAUAUUUGAACCAAGAUAUACAUAUAUAAAU
rnacentral:lncRNA from 1 species